GAUGAACGCUGGCGGCGUGCUUAACACAUGCAAGUCGAACGGAAAGGCCCAAGCUUGCUUGGGUACUCGAGUGGCGAACGGGUGAGUAACACGUGGGUGAUCUGCCCUGCACUUCGGGAUAAGCCUGGGAAACUGGGUCUAAUACCGGAUAGGACCACAUUUUGAUGGUGUGGUGGGAAGUUUUUCGGGGUGGGAUGAGCUGGUGGGCUAUUAGCUUGUUGGUGGGGUAAUGGGCUACCAAGGCGUCGGCGGGUAGCCGGCCUGAGAGGGUGUACGGCCACAUUGAGACUGAGAUACGGCCCAGACUCCGACGGGAGGCAGCAGGGGGGAAUAUUGCACAAUGGGCGCAAGCCGGAUGCAGCGACGCCGCGUGGGGGAUGACGGCCUUCGGGUUGUAAACUCCUUUCGCGAGGGACGAAGCGUUAUGUGACGGUACCUGGAGAAGAAGCACCGGCUAACUACGUG
rnacentral:rRNA from 1 species